CUGCCGGCGUAGCGGCCUCCAGUUCGGCCUACCCGCCGGUUGGGGCGUAUCCUCCGCCACCGGCUGGAUAUGGGUAUCCGCCACAGCAGCCCCCUCCGCCUGGGUAUGGAUAUCCACCACCUCCGGCGCCGGCGGGAUAUGGGUAUCCACCACCACAGGCGGGAUACGGAUAUCCACCGCAGCAAGGGUACGGGUACCAGCCGGCGGUGCAAAAGCCGGCAAAGAAGAGCAAGUUUGGACUAGGGAUGGGGGCUGGGCUGUUGGGAGGAGUGGUUGGUGGGCUUUUGAUCGGUGAUUUGGUUUCCGAUGCAGCUGGUGGUGGCUUC
rnacentral:lncRNA from 1 species